ACUAACUGCAGCCCUGACGUUGUUUCCAGAGUGUUGGGGAAACGAAUGGAGGGAGUGGAGUGUGUGUUUUUUACAUAGGCACCAAAAGGAUAAGGAUAAUCACCACGGACACUGGAGAAGUCACAGCACGGGAGCGGGGAGGCGUCCUGCAUUUGGGUCCUGCUUUCACAUCUCUGACACCAGCACCCUGAGCCCUUAUGCUAAGUGCAAGGAAGGAGGCCAAUGACUAAUGGAGUCAUGGUGGCAUCAUUCAGGUAAAGAUGACUUGGACUGACAGGCCUGCUGAGGACACACUGGGACAGUCUCACAUGCAGAAAUACACGUGUGCACGCACACACACACACACAUAUACUCACACAUGCAUGCAUGCACGCACACACACAGACACAGACACAGACACACAUACACUUUUUACAUGCCUCUUAAGCAUCACCUGUAAAGAGUGAUUUCUCUUGACUUAAAAAAAACUGUAUAUAUCCAUUUAUUUUUUAGUUUUAUUUUAGGAAUGAUAAACUGUUUUGAUUAAAAUCUCUGCUAAAGUGUAAGCUGUGAUUUAAAGAGAGACUGCAAAAUCACUUUAUCAUUAGGAAAAAGUUCACAAUACUUCUUUUAGGCUUCGUUGUGUACAACUGACUUUUGUCAAACUAUUCUCAAUUGUACACUCAAUUUAUACAAGAGUCUUUAGCUGUUGUGUAAAUGGAGUUAUUUUGGUAUUGUAGUGACAAAGAGGCAACAACUAACUAUUAAAACAGUUAAAACAACAGACUAUUGGUUAAUUUGUGUGUGUCAGGGGCCUCAUUUGUAUUUCUACUUUUUUCAUGUAAAUUUUUGAAUUUGAGCUUUUAUUGCAUAUUGUUGUUUUAGAACGCCUGUGACAUAAGAUGCGAUAUUCACAGAAGGGGAAGCUUUGCUAUUUCUAAAUUAACCCAACUGGUUGGUUGAGUCAUCCGUGGGGUGAGUGGUUGAACAGGCUGUCUGGUGGGAAAAAGCGGAUGCCGACACAAUGUGCCACACAUGGCUCUCUGCAGCCCUCUGUAACAGUGAGGUUUGCAGUGCAGAAGGAAUUUCAAAUUGUAUGAAAUUUUGGCAAAAUUCUAAAGAUAAGUAAAUGCUCGAGGAAAUAAUAAAAUUAGUUAUUAUUAAUUGUCAGUUUUUACCAUAGAUCUUGCUCCACUGUUGACAAGCAAAUAUGUAAAUCUACAGAUUUUAGAUUAACAUGAUACCAUUUCAAUGUCUGAUCUUUAAAAUGUUUGCACUUCUAUCCAAGGAUUGGAAUUUUCCCUAUACUUCUUACAUCAAAAUGGCAAGAGUAAAAUAGCACACAACUGUCAGUUAGUUGGUUACACAACACAAAACGACAAAUACAAGUAAGUAAAUGUGAUAUUUAGAAAUUUUUGUUAUGUCCACACCCUGUAAAAAUGGUUUUACUGAGCUCAUCAUUUCACAUCAUCACAUUAUUUCUCUGUUCUAGUUUUGAGGUGAUGAAGUACUGAGGAUAGCAGCUCUCACACCCUGCUGCUGCCCCAUCUGGCCCCUCAGUGUAACUCUCGACCACAGUCACUACAGAAACUGUGACCCAAUCACCUCUGCCCAGGGAUCUCAUAACAUCCAUGGCAACCGAUUUGUCAGCAGACCAAUCAGCCAGUCAUUUCAGCCAGAUGAACAUGUUUGCAUAGGCUGAUUGCAUGUUCUUGGUCACUAACAAAGUUUCAGA